AUGUCUCGUCGAGCGGUAAGGCCCUUCGGGGUACACGAGCGGCGAACGGGUGAGUAACACGUGGGUGAUCUGCCCUGUACUUCGGGAUAAGCCUGGGAAACUGGGUCUAAUACCGGAUAUGACCUUCGGUUGCAUGACCGUGGGUGGAAAGAUUUAUCGGUACAGGAUGGGCCCGCGGCCUAUCAGCUUGUUGGUGGGGUAAUGGCCUACCAAGGCGACGACGGGUAGCCGGCCUGAGAGGGCGACCGGCCACACUGGGACUGAGACACGGCCCAGACUCCUACGGGAGGCAGCAGUGGGGAAUAUUGCACAAUGGGCGAAAGCCUGAUGCAGCGACGCCGCGUGAGGGAUGACGGCCUUCGGGUUGUAAACCUCUUUCGACAGGGACGAAGCGCAAGUGACGGUACCUGUAGAAGAAGCACCGGCCAACUACGUGCCAGCAGCCGCGGUAAUACGUAGGGUGCGAGCGUUGUCCGGAAUUACUGGGCGUAAAGAGCUUGUAGGCGGUUCGUCGCGUCGUUCGUGAAAACUUGGGGCUCAACCCCAAGCUUGCGGGCGAUACGGGCGGACUAGAGUACUUCAGGGGAGACUGGAAUUCCUGGUGUAGCGGUGAAAUGCGCAGAUAUCAGGAGGAACACCGGUGGCGAAGGCGGGUCUCUGGGAAGUAACUGACGCUGAGAAGCGAAAGCGUGGGUAGCGAACAGGAUUAGAUACCCUGGUAGUCCACGCCGUAAACGGUGGGUACUAGGUGUGGGUUUCCUUCCACGGGAUCCGUGCCGUAGCUAACGCAUUAAGUACCCCGCCUGGGGGAGUACGGCCGCAAGGCUAAAACUCAAAGGAAUUGACGGGGGC
rnacentral:rRNA from 1 species